rnacentral:lncRNA from 1 species
GCCAGGAGGAGCUAUUUAGGUGACAGAUGUGAUUUCUUUGGUUUUAUAUAUAUUUUUUAACAAGAUUAUUUCUCGAUCACAUUCAGAAGUGAUCAUUUGGUGCUUUCUAGAGUAUUUCCUAUCACUGACGAUGUCACAUGACAGAAAAGUGGCCUUACUGAUAUUUAUUUCUUUUUUUAAUUGUGGUGGCAGGCAGUGUCAACCUAUUGUGUCACCUCACAGCGAGACAGCCCCAAUUCCAGUUCUUAUUCAGAUAAGGAAUUAUCAGCGCAUUGAGCAGAAUCUGACGUCUACUGCCAGCUCUAGUACAAAUUCACAUGGUUCUCCAAGGUCUGCAGUGGUAUGAAGGUCUAACACCAGCCCCCUGGGCUUCCUCAGGCUGGGAUCCUGCUCCCCAGCACCAGCAGACACAGUACAGACAGUUGGAUGAAGACUCUCUACUGGGUCUUCCAGGCCUUACUCACCUUCUCUUUUGGGCAAGGAGAAUUUAAAGCAGCUAUUUUCAACCUUAUUUUCACUAUAACAAAUCUGACGUGAUGCACUCGUUUUAGGAACAUCAGUUUACCAUAGUAGUGAUUCUGACCUGAUUGGAGGGCAUGACCCUUUCUUCUUACUUUAUCCUACUCCUAACUCUGCUUUGAGAACCUCUGUAUAAAUCUGUUGGGAUUGCUGUUGAAAAUACAGUAAAUAAAUGGAUCUUUUAUAUCAAAAGCACUCUCACUGGAUUUGGGUUCUAACUGCAGAAUCAGAGAUCCUAGGUUAAAAUGCAUAGAGUGCCUUACCUGACUCAUCACUCAGACGUCUAAAGAUUAAAAUACAAAAAGCUUUGGGUCACAUUCAUCAAAAGGCUUCCACCUCCACUAGGAAUAUAUAUAUAGUAGCAGCUUUGUUACAGAUCUUCUCACUUCACUUAGAAAUCAUUCAUGGUAACAAGAACAACUGUAAACAGAAAAACCACAAACCACAUCUUCAGUGAAAUUUAAGAGGCAGAGAAAAUGAUUCAACUCAGAGUAUGGGAAGCCAAAGCUACUAAGUCCAUAGCAUUAAUUUUUUUUGGACCGGGGAUUGAACUCGGGACCUUGUGCUUGUGAGGCAGGCAGCAGAACCAUUGAGUUAAAUCCCCAAACUUCAUAGCAUUUAUGAGAAGCAGCAAUGAGGUAAUGGGACAAACAGGUGGUGUAGAGGGGCCCUGCCUGCAGUCAGAACUGCUGGAGUAGAACUAAGGUGGAGAGCAAGAUGCCUCAGAAGAAGGCAGGCAGAGCAGGGCUGCAUAUAACUAUUCCCCAAGAGCCCUGUGAUAGUAAUUUUUUUUAAAAAACACGAAAAAUCAGCUUAAAUUUCCUCAUCACUUCUUUUAUUUCUUUGGUACCAGGGAUUGAAUUCAGGACCUUGAGCUUGUGAGGCAGGCGCAGCACCACUGAGCUAAAUCCCCAGCCCCUCAUCACUUCUUUUUUUACUUAAAAAAAAAAAAAAUCUUCAAACAAAAAUUUUUUUUUUUUUUGUUACUGGGAAUGAAAUUAAGGACCUUGAGCUUCUGGGGAAGGUGCAGCACCACUGAGCUAAAUCCCCAGCCCCUCAUCACUUCUUUUUUUACUUAAAAAAAAAAAAUCUUCAAACAAAAUUUUGCCCCUUCCUCACCCCUGUAGCUGUCCCUAAGGUAUACUCCAAAAUCUUUGAAGAUAAGAUUUAAACCUUAUAUUUGUAGUCAAGAAAAAUGUCUGUGGAGACCUGAAACUAUAGUGCAGUUCUAAGAAUGUUUUA